GUCGUCACUUCCUCAUAUUAUUUCCAACAUGGAGUCCAGCGGUUUGAAGUUGAAUUUCUGGGAGAACGGACCAAAGCCCGGACAGUUUUACUCGUUUCCCGGUGGCAGCAGCGGGCCGGGCACAGCAUGCGGACCCGUCCGACACACACUUAACCCGAUGGUAACUGGACGUCGGUGCUCGGGGUGAAGUUUACUGGUGGCGUGAUCAUUGCGGCCGACAUGUUGGGCUCGUACGGCUCACUGGCUCGCUUCAGGAACGUCUCCCGCCUCAUGAAGGG